rnacentral:lncRNA from 1 species
AGAAAGGUGAAUUUAGAGAAGUGAUCUACGACGACAAAAAUCCAAGCUUGUCCCCUUUUCGACCGAGGAUACUUCCCCAGGAAAUCGAUGUAUAAUUUCUGGAAUGGCCUCUCCGUUACGACUUCCUGACCGAUCCCUACCUGGCUUCGAUAAUUGGGUGCUUUGGACUCCUUACAAGCAUCGCAGUUCCGGACAUACUCCCGCACUUGUGUCGUCAUCGCUGGCCAGUAGAAUUGCCUUCUUAGCCGAUGCAAGGUCUUUUUAAGUCCACCGUGUCCAGCUGUGUGGUCUUCGUGGGCCUUGGAGAUGAGAGUUUCCGUCAGAGACGCGGGAAUCCAUAAUUUCCAAAUGGUCCCUUCCACUUGGUCGUCCAUUUGCGUGAAAGCCAUCCGCUUGAAUAUCACAUCCCCUUCCACUCGUAGGUCAGGCAACAUGUCUUGAUUCUUGCCGAUUUCUUCUUUCAGCUCCUGAUAUUCUGAAGACUCAAACUCUGUCGUCUGGAAUCCGAGGAUCUCCGUUGGAUCUAUCACCACUUCGUCGAUGCAGCGUGAGAGUGUAUCCGCCACGACGUUGUCGACUCCUUUCCGGUGUUCGAUCCCAAAGUCAAACCUCUGCAGUCGCAAUGACCACCUCGCAAGACGUCCGUUUAGAUCCUUCAAUGACAUGAGCCAUUUCAGGCUGGCGUGAUCCGUAAUAACCGUGAAGGGCAUCAAUUCAACGUACGGUCUGAAUUUUUCAAUGGCCAACACCGCAGCUAAACACUCUUUUUCCGUUACAGAAUAAUUUAGCUGAUGCUUGUUUAACUUGGCGGAGAAGAAUGCCACCGGACGCUCGGCUCCUUCGACGUCCAACUGAAACAACACCGCUCCCACUCCGUAAUUCGAUGCGUCGCACUGUACAUAGAAAGGCUUCUUGAAAUCAGCAUGACUUAAUACCGGAGCCGUGGUGAGUGCCUUCUUCAGGAAUCCUAUCGCCGUCUCGGCCUCCGUGGACAGGGAAAACUUUCCACGCGGAUGCUUCUUCAGCGCGUCUGUUAGCGGCACAGCAAUGGAAGCGUAAUCCUUGAUGAAGCGCCUAUACCAUCCUGCGGUUCCUAGGAAGCUUCUUAGUUCCUUCACUGAACUCGGAUUGGGAAUCCUUUGAAUGGCCAAAACUCUUUCAGGAUCCAUCUGCAACGUGCCACCUCCGAUGAUAAAUCCCAGGUAUUUCAGUGACCUAAAGCAAAAUUUUGAUUUUUUCAAGCCUAUUGUUAAAUUUGCUUUUCGUAAGCACUGGGCCACCAACCGAAGGUACCGGAGAUGCGUCUGGAAAUCGGGAGCUAUCACCAAGAGAUCAUCUAGAUAGACGAAAACGUUUGAUCUCAACUGCGUCGGGAUCACUUUGUCCAUCACUCGGCAUAGCCUCUGUGCAGCAUUACACAGACCGAAGGGCAUCAUCACAAAUUGGUACAGCGGACGACCUGGAACGGUGAAAGCGGUACAUUUCCUGCUUUCUGGAUCCAACUUGAUUUGCCAGAACGCGAAUUUAAGGUCCACACUUGAAAUGUAAUGCGUCUGGUCGAUCCUGGACAGUAUUCCCUCGAUGUUAGGAAGAGGGUAAGCGUCUUUGACGGUGAGUUGGUUCAGCUUUCGGGCGUCUAAACAAAAUCUGUUUUUGUUAGGUUUCCGCACUACCGUCGUCCUAUUGCUCCACGGACUAUCGCUAACCUCUAUCACUCCUAGUUCCAGCAUCUUGUCCACUUCGGUCCAGACCACUUCCUGCAUCGCUGGGGAUUGAGGGUAGUGUCGAUCCUUAAACGGCUCCGCGCCCUCUACCAACUGGAUCUGGUGCUCCUCUACAGUCGUUGACCCUAGUCCGGCAUCUUCGUAAGUCAGGAACUCCCCCUUUACCUUCUCCAGUUCUUCAGCUUCCUUCUCUUCCAGGUUCCACGCGUCCACAUGUACGUUCUCCUGGUGGUCUUCGACAUAUUGACUGAUCUGUGACAUCUGGACUUCGGAUAUUUUGGCAUCGCUUGUCGAACUUGGAUACGGACCGAGGACUGUGGGAGCCAACUCGAACGACCUCCAAAAAUCGACCCCCAAGUACAUGACUUGCUCCAGGUAUGGAGAGAUGUAAAAGAGAAUGGGAUUCUCGCCUUGCCGAUUAUGGUCCUGUCCUCUCCUGCGGCGGUUUUGACGAUCGAGAUAUAGUUGUCCAUCUCCACCCCGAGGUCGUCUAGGAGCUCACGACUGCCCUUUCCGAGGACACUUACGGAUGCUCCAGUAUCCAGGAGUCCGGAAAUCUUCCGUCCUAGGAUUUGCACCUCGGCAAAAACCCUUGGGUCACGUCCUGCUCCACGCCUGACUGCUUCCGCCACCUCCUUGCGAGUCUGUCUCCUUUGCCGGAAGCGUGCACGGGCCCUCUGGAGUCUACGGCUGACACCUCGCAUUCCAUUCAGCUGAUGUCCGUCAAAGAUCCGAUUUCGGGCUUGUUUAUACUUCCUCAUCCUCUCUUCGACCGGUAAGAAUUUUAAACUAUUUUUUUCUAUACUACUUGGGUUAAUAUGCUUAAUUUUUACAACCUCCAAUAGCGCUUCCUUCACUUCCUCGCGGGCUUCCGUCCCGAGCUCUGAUAUCCCGCCUUCAUCAUGCCCGUUCUUGAGU